rnacentral:rRNA from 1 species
UACGGGGGGGGCAAGCGUUGUUCGGAAUUACUGGGCGUAAAGGGCUCGUAGGCGGCCAACUAAGUCGGAUGUGAAAUCCCCAGGCUUAACCUGGGAACUGCAUCCGAUACUGGAUGGCUUGAAUCCGGGGGAGGGAUGCGGAAUUCCAGGUGUAGCGGUGAAAUGCGUAGAUAUCUGGAGGAACACCGGUGGCGAAGGCGGCAUCCUGGACCGGCAUUGACGCUGAGGAGCGAAAGCCAGGGGAGCAAACGGG